rnacentral:rRNA from 1 species
UACGUAGGGUGCGAGCGUUAAUCGGAAUUACUGGGCGUAAAGCGUGUCGUAGGUGGUGAGUUAAGUCUGUCGUGAAAGCCCCGGGCUCAACCUGGGAAUGGCGAUGGAUACUGGCUCGCUAGAGUGCGGUAGAGGAGAGUGGAAUUCCCGGUGUAGCAGUGAAAUGCGUAGAGAUCGGGAGGAACAUCAGUUGCGAAGGCGGCUCUCUGGACCAGCACUGACACUGAGGCACGAAAGCGUGGGGAGCAAACAGG